ACAAAGUCCCAUCAGUGAAAAAAAAGGUUAUAAUUUGCCAGAGAACACACUGACUGGCCUAAAGAGCAAUGGCGCAACAUUUUGUGGAUUGAUGAAAGAAUGUUCUUUUUGGGUCUCUGGGUUGUAGACAAUUUGUCAGACGACCCCCCAAAACUGAAUUGAAACCACAGUACACUGUGAAGACAGUGAAGCAUGGUGGAGCAAGCAUCAUGAUAUGGGGAUGUUUCUCAUACUGUGAUGUCGGGCCUAUUUAGUGCAUAC